UUGAACGCUGGCGGCAUGCCUUACACAUGCAAGUCGAACGGGCUUUAGGGGCUUGCUCCUAAAGUUAGUGGCGAACGGGUGAGUAAAGUAUCGGAACGUACCAUUCAGUGGGGGAUAACGUAGCGAAAGUUACGCUAAUACCGCAUAUUCUGUGAGCAGGAAAGCAGGGGAUCGCAAGACCUUGCGCUGAUUGAGCGGCCGAUAUCAGAUUAGCUAGUUGGCGGGGUAAUAGCCCACCAAGGCGACGAUCUGUAGCGGGUCUGAGAGGAUGAUCCGCCACACUGGGACUGAGACACGGCCCAGACUCCUACGGGAGGCAGCAGUGGGGAAUUUUGGACAAUGGGCGCAAGCCUGAUCCAGCCAUGCCGCGUGAGUGAAGAAGGCCUUCGGGUUGUAAACUGCUUUUGUACGGAGCGAAAAGGCUCUCUCUAAUACAGGGGGCUCAUGACGGUACCGUAAGAAGAAGCACCGGCUAACUACGU
rnacentral:rRNA from 1 species